rnacentral:tRNA from 1 species
GCCUUCGUGGUGUAGUGGUCAGCAGGCUUGACGUGUAUUCGAGAGGUCCGUGGUUCGAGUCCCGGCGAGAGCA